UACGGAGGGUGCGAGCGUUAUCCGGAUUCACUGGGUUUAAAGGGUGCGUAGGUGGGUCUGUAAGUCAGUGGUGAAAUCUCCGGGCUUAACCUGGAAACUGCCAUUGAUACUAUAGGUCUUGAAUUUUCUGGAGGUAAGCGGAAUAUGUCAUGUAGCGGUGAAAUGCUUAGAUAUGACAUAGAACACCAAUUGCGAAGGCAGCUUACUACAUAGUUAUUGACACUGAGGCACGAAAGCGUGGGGAUCAAACAGG
rnacentral:rRNA from 1 species